rnacentral:rRNA from 1 species
CUACGGGGGGCACCAGUGAGGAAUAUUGCACAAUGGGGGGAACCCUGAUGCAGCAACGCCGCGUGGAGGAUGACGCAUUUCGGUGUGUAAACUCCUUUUAUAUGUCAAGAAAAUGACGGUAGCAUAUGAAUAAGCACCGGCUAACUCCGUGCCAGCAGCCGCGGUAAUACGGAGGGUGCAAGCGUUACUCGGAAUCACUGGGCGCAAAGGACGCGUAGGCGGGUUGGAAAGUCAGGUGUGAAAUCCCACAGCUUAACUGUAGAACUGCACUUGAAACUUCUAAUCUAGAGGAUGGGAGGGGGAGAUGGAAUUAGUGGUGUAGGGGUAAAAUCCGUAGAUAUCACUAGGAAUACCUAAAGCGAAGGCGAUCUCCUGGAACAUUACUGACGCUAAGGCGUGAAAGCGUGGGGAGCAAACAGGAUUAGAUACCCCAGUAGUC